rnacentral:misc_RNA from 1 species
UUAUUGAUACAGUUUCUGUACUAUAUUG